GAUACGGAAUGCCGUACUCGAGUGCACUGUAUGGAAUCAGCUUCCAGUUCUGAGACAGCAAGAUUUGUGGCUUCCCAAGAAUUAGGCUGUCAUGUUUUUUUGUCAUCUUUUCUCGUACGGCCAUAUACCAAAUGAGGCAUAAAGGUUUCUGAUGCUGGCAGAGGCCAGAAGAUUGCCUCAGGACUCCUGAAACUGGAGUCACAGAUUGUUGCAAGUCACCUCAUAGUGGGAAGUGAACUGAGAUUCCCUGAAAAAGUAGCCCGUGUUCUUAAUCGCUGAGCCAUUCUCCAGCCUCAUGUUUCAACAUAUAUUACAUGUAUCAUCUAGAUAAUUCAAUACAGAAGAAACAUUUAAAAAGGUAUGUUAUAUUCUCUAUGCACACAAGAAUAUGUGCUUGCUGAACAAGAAGUUCACGAAGAGAUUGUGUGAAAUCUUAACCACCUAAAGUUUCUGAGCUGGCUGAGAAGCUGAGGCAAGGUAGGAGCCUGGAAUCUGGCAGACUUGGGGCACAGGUGCUUUGAUCAUUUGUAUUGUUAUCAAACAAAUGUGUACUCUUCAAAUGUACGCCAUCCUCUAAUAUUGAUCAAUUUAUUUGUCUACAAAUGUGAAACACAGCCAAGAACUGAAAUGGCCACAAAAAUUAAUUCUAGAGCUUUCUAACUAUUUGAAUUGAUAGACAGUGUCUAGAAUGAAGGACAGAACCUGCCACUUUGUAAUUAUGGGUUCACAGAGGAACAUCUUCUACAGACAUCUUAAUUGUUCUUAUCAUCCAAAUUCUGGCACCUUUAUGUGAAUAUUAUACAUGACAUCACAGUCACUGCUCAGUUGACACACCAUCCUCGGCUCUAAUCUUUCCAGUACUGCUCUGUUUUCUGAUAUGCUGC